GGGUCAAAAGCAAUACUGAAAUCUAAAAAUACAUGAGGUCGGAUCGACCAUUAGUCAAGUGUGCGGCAACAAGUUACCUUUAUAAUUCAGGUUGAACUCAGGACAACUUUCAAACCUAGGAUGUUAAUUCAGAUGUUUUUGCAAUUUAUCAACUGAGAUAAUGUGUUUUGAAAAAAGUGUUUUGGCAGCAAUUCUUUAGUAGCUGUGUGUGUUAUUAUUUGAGCAAGGAUUUGAAAAAUGUGGAUAGGCAUUCAGCACAGUAGUAAUUUUAGCUUCUAGAACUAGAAGUGCGUGCUGCAACAUCUAGAAGCGGUGGAUCAUAUUUUUAGUUCCUUUCUCUGAUUUUCUGAUCGAGAUUUGUGGGCGGAGGCGGUUAUGAAGUGAUUUAUCUAGAAAUAAAUUUCGCAAAUUUUUCCUGGAAAUCUAAUGCUUUUAUGAAAAGUUUGGUUGGCAAGAUGUUCUGAAGGAAUCGAUGUAGGGACUCUUUGGUUGUGGAACCAAUUAGCAUAGUGCUGUGUGGAACCAAUUAGCAAAGUGCUGUUUGCUCCCUUCCCCUAACCACAAGAGGAUGCGUAUGUGGUGGUGGUAUAUGGAAUGAAUGUCUUCUUUCCCUUUUCAUCUGACAGACUUAGUUUGUUUCAGGUUGAUUAUAAACGGAAAUUAGAUCGCCAAAGAGUAGGCUUGUGAGUGGUGUGAGUUGAAUGAUUACUUUGAGGUGCAUGAAAGGGAUGUGUGAUUUUGGUUUUGUCCCAGUGUAUGUCCUUUAGAGAAAGACUAUUGCAUGUUUUGAAUGGCAACGUUAGAGGAAAAGACUUUACAAAGCCCAGUCAGUACAGAAGAAAAUGGAGUAACUACUAUAAAUAUAGUUGUUGUAUCAUAAGGCCAUGGUGUAGUACCCGUGGUGUGUUUUUCUUGAUAAUUCGGCUCUGCUUCACCUCUUAGAAUUUGGUAGGUUUGUAAUAUUCCUACCCAGACUAAUAACCAUGGGCUUUCAUGCAAGCCUAUUUUUUGAUUGAUGUGCUUGAUUUCAGAUCAUAAAUACAGAGUGGGGAGCAUUUUCAGAUCACUAUAUUGGCAGAAAAUUCUACAUAGAGGAAACAUGGCCAAUUAUAGUCCAUAACAAAAAAUUCAUACAAAAUGAUGAGAAUUUUCAAUAUAAUUUUCUGAAACUAUGAACCGCAGUAACAAACUUUUCAAUUUCCAACUGAACGUAAUAGGCCCCAUCAUUGGGCAUGAAAUAUCUGUAUCACUAUAUAUGAAUCAUUUUCUAUAGAAUUAUCAAUUUUGUUUUAUUAUGUAUCUUUUGCAUUUGAGUGGUAAGAGCAUAUGACCUUGCAUGGUAAACAAAGCUCUUCAAUUAAUCAUCAACUAUCAAACUUAAUCUUCUUCUUACUAUCCUUGGAAUAUUAUGAGCCCAUGUAGGUUACACACAAUUUUCAGAAUAUACUGUACUUUUACUCCCUUACAAGUGUUGAUCAUUUUCUAGAAAAUUGUUGUAGCAAAUACAUAUUGGCCACAAGCUAUACAAGUGGAGGCAGGGGUUAAUCUCUUUUUCUUCAAAAGAUCUACGAACCAUUUUUCUGAUAUUCUACUAUGACUCUAUGAGCAUAAUUCAAAUACCACUGGUAUCAGUAAGUUCCCAGAAGUUAGUUUAAAGGUUUAAGUUGGUGUGCUGUCGAAUUUGCUUCUUAGGUUCUAAAUUGUUUUAAACUAAGUUUCAAAAUUUGAAAAGUUGUUGAGUUGCAAAUUAUACAGAACCAUCUCAGAGAAAUGAUGUUUGUGGAGGUGCCGGAGCCUGGCAGCUCCAUGGCUCAAGGCAAUACCGGGCAAGAUUAUUUGUUAUGGUUUCUAGGAAAUGAUGUUCUCGACUUUGAUCAGUUUUCGAGUAACCUGACGAAUGAAGAGCAGCAACAGUUGCUGAAGUAUCUCCCUUCUGUGGAUACUGCCAGACUUCCUGAUAGGUAGAGAGUCCUCAACGUUUAAUUUUGACUCGAGUACUGUCAAUUGGAUAUUACGUUCUUUUUAUUUUACCCAUCAAAAGGACAAAAAGAUUGUUCAAGUUUAGAUCAACUCUGGAGCAACUAAUACUCCUUCUGUGUUGUAUAGUCUUUUUUGGCAGUCAUGCCUUUUGAUCAGGUUAACAAAUAAUGUACUUCUGUGAAAAAAAAAACCCACUGAGCUAGCAGCAUGUUGUGUGAACCUCCCAUUGGCUGUGCCAAAAGCAAGAGGUGCCCUGAUAAUUGCGUCAUGCCUGGGAAUACUUGGACUAGAGGGAAAGAAUGAUUUUAUAUCAUCUAAAAUACAAUAAAGUAGGAAAGAUAAUUUUUUAAGAUGUGCAGAAUAUUGGAAAACCAAGAUACGGGACGGAGCCUUAAAAGCAUGUUUGCAAGCCCUCAAUUCAAAGAGAACAUAUCCUCCUUCUAGAAGCUGCAUGUGGAAGGGGUUUUUGAUCUUUCUUUGUCAGAGGUGAAGCCUGAAGACUGUAGGACAUAAGAGGCUUACAUUGGGCAAUUUGAGAAAGUCGAAGUGGUUGGAAAAAAAUAUAAUCUGCUCAAGGACCAAAAGUGUAGUAGUAUUAAUGAAGGGUCGGUAGUUCAAGGUGGGCCUAAUGCAAUUGCAAAUGGUAAUUCAACCAAUGUAAAGAGAUUGUGUGAUGGUCAACUUCAAAAUUUUCCAGGUUAGCUCGUAUGUGUCUUUAGUAGUCAAUCAUUGGAUGCUCUAUAUGUUGUUUUGACAAUUCUGAUGAAAAGCCCAAGGGUUGAACUGCAAAAAGGACAAAAUAAGAUUUAGCUUCUGUCAUUUAAAUAAGCAAGCAGGACCUAAAGAACAAAAGAAUCUUACACUAGCUUUGGGGUUUCUGUACUUAAUUCCAGCUGCAUAGAAACUUUCCCUAAAAAUUUCCAGAUAAUGAGGUUUACUGGAAAGAUUCAAAGUUGGUGUGUGUGAGUCAGACUCAACACAAAAUUUAAAUUCUUGGGUAGACUAAUUAGAAGUGUUGGUUCUGACUUGUGAGCAAGUGUCUAAGUUUUAGGUUAUGUAAGGUGCAUGAGUUUGCUGAGUUAUCAACGUGAUAAGUUAAUGGCCUUAAAUAACGUGAAGAAAUGUUCUUUACAGAUAGGGUGUUACUCUCUUUAGUAGAUACACCUAACUUGUUUGCAUUCAGCACAUAUAUACCACACCCGAUGGUUUUCCAUGUUUUGAAAUUACUAUUCAUUGAUAUCUGGGAAUCCAUGUAUGAGAAGUUCGUAUGAGAUGUAAAACUAAUCUCUUUCCAGUUGGCUGCAAUUUUUGCUUCCAAAAAUGAGCAGAUACCUAUCUGACAAUUGUGUGCACUGCCGUGUUAUUAUCUAUCGGCUCAUCAUACUUGGAAUUUCUUUCAAAAUCAUUUUAACAAGGAGGCUAAAAUCUUUUUUAUUUCCUCACUCAUGGUCAUGCAUCAAGUGCUACAAAAAAUGUCAUACCUUGCCCCUCCUAUGCACAUGAUCUAAGUUUCGUUGAUCGAAAGCAUUCUCUUCUAUGUCUUUGUGAUCAUGCAGUUUGGUAAAGCACAGUCCUAUCGAGCUUUGGCUUUCAUCUUUGCUCUCCUUUUUAUUGCUCUUGCACCACGGGCUUUAUCCUGCAAAUCACAAGCACCACGUCUUAACAGACUAAGAUGAGGAAUCAUUUUAGCCUAUGGGUAGGAGAACAUGGUGGUGCAUCUAAAAGGAGAAAUAUACUUGUGCUUUAAUGAAGAAUAUUCAUUGCUCCUGGUGUUACCAAACUACUGCAGGACCCUUUUAGGUGAUCUUUCAUUCGUUGGAUUCUAUUGAGCAUCCCAAGGUCAAAAAUUGCUUGCUCUCGCACUCGUCUGUUUUAAAUAUGUCGUGCAAUAAAUAUGUACCACCAUUCGUCGUUUUUGGGUUACUCCUAUUUGAAAAAGUAUUUACUUGAUCUUCGUGAUUCAUUCCAAAAUUUAGGGAUCUUCUAUAUCAGGUGGUAUACAAAAUAAAGCCUAGCUUGGUUAUUGGAACCCUAAUUUCCAAAAAAUCCCCAAUUUCACA